rnacentral:rRNA from 1 species
UACGGGGGGGGGCAAGCGUUGUUCGGAAUUACUGGGCGUAAAGGGCCAGUAGGCGGCCAACUAAGUCCGACGUGAAAUCCCCCAGGCUUAACCUGGGAACUGCAUCCGAUACUGGAUGGCUUGAAUCCGGGAGAGGGAUGCAGAAUUCCAGGUGUAGCGGUGAAAUGCGUAGAUAUCUGGAGGAAUACCGGUGGCGAAGGCGGCAUCCUGGACCGGCAUUGACGCUGAGGAGCGAAAGCUAGGGGAGCAAACGGG